CCUACGGGAGGCAGCAGUGAGGAAUAUUGGUCAAUGGACGAGAGUCUGAACCAGCCAAGUAGCGUGAAGGAUGACUGCCCUAUGGGUUGUAAACUUCUUUUAUAAAGGAAUAAAACGAGGCACGUGUGCCUUUUUGCAUGUACUUUAUGAAUAAGGAUCGGCUAACUCCGUGCCUGCAGCCGCGUUAAUCCGGAGGCUCCGAGCGUUAUCCGGCUUCAUUGGGUUUAAAGGGAGCGUAGAUGGGUUGUUAAGUCAGUUGUGAAAGUUUGCGGCUCAACCGUAAAAUGGCAAUUGAUACUGGCAGUCUUGAGUACAGUUGAGGUAGGCGGAAUGCGUGGUGUAGCGGUGAAAUGCUUAGAUAUCACGAAGAACCCCGAUUGCGAAGGCAGCUUACUAAACUGUGACUGACAUUGAUGCUCGAAGGUGUGGGUAUCAAACGGGAUUAGAUACCCGGGUAGUC
rnacentral:rRNA from 1 species